rnacentral:lncRNA from 1 species
ACUCCCCACCGUCCUGCACCUCUACCAACUUCAAAUCCAACCUUGUUCUCUCUCUCUCUCUUCCCAAACUUCCUGCUCUUUCUCAUAGUUCUUUCUCCAACAAAAUGAAGCUUAUAAAGUUCUCUCGGCCAUCCAUAUCUUUCUUCCUUGUAUUACUUGUGGUAGGCCAGUUAUGUAGUGUCAAGCAUGGCCUCAGAACUACGAAAAAUGACGUGGACAAGAGCCGGAAAGGUGAGCAUCCAUCACCCGCUUGCUGUUUCUCCAGGAUUUCUCCAUCUCAAGUGAUCAAUGAGGAUGAUGAUGAUUUCGGUUCCAUCUAUGGAGUGUCUGAGAGAGGGGUACCUCAAGGUCCAAACCCACUUCACAAUUGAUAUAUGGUUGGGAUUUAUAAGUCUUCAGUUAGUUUCCAGAGUUGUAUACGGUUGUAAUGGUUUUUUUUCUUCUAUUGGGCCUAGAAGAUGUAUAUCAGAAGCUGAAUGACAUGUGAUAAUAAUAUGUCUUUUUUAUGGUAAAAAGUUG